rnacentral:rRNA from 1 species
GACGAACGCUGGCGGCGUGCUUAACACAUGCAAGUCGAACGGAAAGGCCCUGCUUUUGUGGGGUGCUCGAGUGGCGAACGGGUGAGUAACACGUGAGUAACCUGCCCUUGACUUUGGGAUAACUUCAGGAAACUGGGGCUAAUACCGGAUAGGAGCUCCUGCUGCAUGGUGGGGGUUGGAAAGUUUCGGCGGUUGGGGAUGGACUCGCGGCUUAUCAGCUUGUUGGUGGGGUAGUGGCUUACCAAGGCUUUGACGGGUAGCCGGCCUGAGAGGGUGACCGGCCACAUUGGUACUGAGAUACGGCCCAGACUCCUACUGGAGGCAGCAGUGGGGAAUAUUGCACAAUGGGCGGAAGCCUGAUGCAGCAACGCCGCGUGCGGGAUGACGGCCUUCGGGUUGUAAACCGCUUUCGCCUGUGACGAAGCGUGAGUGACGGUAAUGGGUAAAGAAGCACCGGCUAACUACGUG